rnacentral:rRNA from 1 species
UACGUAGGGGGCUAGCGUUGUCCGGAUUUAUUGGGCGUAAAGAGCGUGUAGGCGGCCAGGUAGGUCUGCUGUGAAAACUCGAGGCUCAACCUCGAGACGUCGGCGGAAACCAUCUGGCUAGAGUCCGGAAGAGGAGGGUGGAAUUCCUGGUGUAGCGGUGAAAUGCGCAGAUAUCAGGAAGAACACCCGUGGCGAAGGCGGCUCUCUGGGACGGUACUGACGCUGAGACGCGAAAGCGUGGGGAGCGAACAGG